AGCGAUUUCUUUGGUCGGUUAGGUACUUUGGUUUGAAGUGAUACAACUAAGUCGAACUUACAAUGUUAAUGACCCUAGACUUCAUUUUGAGGCAGACAUCGAAUAACCCCAAGAGAAAAUGUCUUGAGUAUUACGUCCACUGGGCUAUGGGUUUUAACCCUGGAUUCUGACCACCGUGCUUCUGACGUUGUUGGACAGUUCUGAUUCUGACAGGGAACUCAAGCGACUCAUUGCCGUGAACGGCUUCGGGAGCUUGGAUCUAGUCUAUUUCAUGCUGGACUUUGAACAAGCUGCGAUCACCGCAGCGUAAACUGCAUUUCCCAACACCGUCAUUCAUGGCUGCCUCUUCCAUCUUGCCCAAUCAGUUAUGAGGCACGUGGACAGCUGUUAUCUCAGGAGGCGGUGCAGGACCAAUGAAGCCUUUCCACGGGGAGUAAAAAAUCUCACAGCACUACUUCUUCCCCUGGGAAGGUUGUGAAUGAUACUAUGCACAAAAUACAGAGUAUCAGUGGGUGCUCUAAGAUUGAGAGUCAACCCUGAAAGGAAAAGCAGGGACAACGAGGGUUCCUCCUUACAUCUCUUGUCCCGUCAGACAUUACAUGGACGCACAUGGCAUACCUCCCACUCAAUAUCUCAACGGAAUUCAUUUGGGACGAAAACAAGAUGCCGGUUUCCAAGGUGAGCGGCAACUGCCAUUCACUGAAGUGUCAGUCAAGGAAACAUUGUCGGCGGGGCUUCAUUCAUCGAAAAAAAAAAAAUCUGCAUCGAUCAAGUUCAGUUCGAGGACGAAGAGGACGUCAUGGUGGUCUUCAACUGGUUUGAGGAGUAUCACAUCCUCGGAAAGCUCCGCACCAACCACGGGAUCGGGAUAAGAAUUCCACCACAGCUUCCACCAGCCUUGUGGACCGUAGAGCCUCUCAUGGAAAACCACCAACCUCGAGGCACGAACUGCCUGGUGGCAUGGCAUCGGCGACUCGGGGUCCUGAUCAGAGAGACGCACCCUGGCCUCCUUUUCCUGCGCCGCCUGCGGGCUGAGCAGGAUCAGAUUGAGAGGGUAUGGAAAGUGCUGACCUGCACGGCCAACAGCGACCCCGAAAGAGUAUUUUACGUGGGGGUGCUAGCGGUCGAAUUAAA